rnacentral:misc_RNA from 1 species
AAGUCGUAACAAGGUUUCCGUAGGUGAACCUGCGGAAGGAUUAUUACAAGAAACGAGGCUACGUGCCCCGCUCUUUACCUUGCCUACUGCACUAUCUGUUGCUUCCUGGCGGCGGUUUGCCUACCGCCAGGGACAUUGUAAAGCCCUGCAUUAGCAUUGAAAAACUGAAACAAACCGAAUCGUAUAACUUUUAAUAAUGGAUCUCUUGGUUCUG